UUUUUGUGUCUGUGGUUGAAAAAUACUGUGUGAGUCAAGUUGUACGUCGGUGUUUUAUUGCAUUUUUAACAAAAUUUAGCUGUUUUAUGGCACCAAAGAUUUGUUACAAAUAAUGUAAAAUGGCUAUAAACUUGGAAAAACAUAAGAGUUCUUUGAUCGCCGCGUGGAAGGACGUAUUAGACGAGAAAACCGACACCGAUUGGGCGUUAUUUGGCUACGAUGGCAUGACAAAUGAUCUCAAAUUCGUCAGCAAGGGCAACGGUGGCCUUUUGGAACUUAUUGACGACUUCAACAGUGGUAAAAUACAGUAUGCAUUCUUGAAAGUCGACGUCCCCAACGGAAACAUAUCAAAAUAUGUUCUUAUCAACUGGCAGGGCGAAGGCGCGCCGACUGUCCGGAAGGGCACAUGCGCGAACCACGUGAAGCAUGUGAUGCAGUUCUUCAGUGGGUUCCACCUCACCAUGCACGCUCGUACUGAGGACGACCUGGAUGAAAAGUUGAUACUCGACAAGCUGUCUAAGGCUGGGUCUUCUGUGGGGUUCAAGUCCACAAAGUCAGAGGAACUGCCCCCCAGUGGCCCCAUCGGGACGGCCUACCAGAAAGUUAAUCCAGUCCAAGAAAUAAACUCCAAAGAACGGGAUCAGUUCUGGAUGAAGGAAGAACAAGAAGAGAAGAAACGCGUAGAAGCCGAGAGGAAAAGGAGAGAAGAGGAAAAGAGAAAAGCAGAGGAGGAUGUCAGGAGGAGAGAUGAAUUGGAAGCGGAGAGGAGAGCGAAGGCAGAAAGCGUUAAGAGCGAGGCGUCCGCGGCGGGCGUGGUGAGCGCGGGCGAGGCGCAGCGGCGGCAACGCUCGCAGGAGGCGCGCCAGCUCAUCGGCUCCACGGCCGCCGCGCGGGCCAUGUUCGAGCAGCACACUGCGCAGGGGCAGAUGGCGCGGUCAAACUCCAACGUACCAGAGAAGCCAGUCCGCAGUUCAGUGAUAGCGCAGCGCAUCAACGCAUUCAGCCAACAAGCGAACAACACACCACCCCAGACAUCCCCCAUCAAAUCUCCCUUAAAGUCCCCCCUCCAACCCAAAGCCACCCUCGACGACCAACCCCCCGAACAACCAAAGACAAGUCCUUUGAAAAACAUUGACAAGAUCAAAAUGAGUUUGGAGAGUCCUUCGCAGAUACAAUACGAGCCAAUUAUAGACCCCGCAGACUUAAGUCCUAGUACGGAAAACGUACCGGACUCCUUCAGUGCCAUUAGCUACGCGGAACAUAAAGACUCUUACAGAGACAUAGAGAACAUUAACGACUUGAAGCAAAGCGAGCCUAUGAUAAAACAGAACAUUCUAGAAAACGACAUGUUUGAUGCGUCGUAUUCUAGUUCUAACGAGAAUGAUGACGAUGAUAGUGAUAACAAGUUCAGUACGAUAAAGCGAUCUCCUUAUAGUAAGAACAAUAUUGCUGAAGAGACUGGCAGGUCGGCGGAGCUCAGUAGACAGAACACAGUCAUUGAGAACGUCAACUACAAGAAGGACCAGAAUGGAACUGCUACGUUAGACGUUAAUCACUUUGUAAAGUCUUACAAAUGUUUAAAACAAGAGAAAAAUGCAACGACGGAUAAAGCAACGACGGAUAAAGCAACGAAACGCAAAAAAAAAAGUUAUAUCAGCUGACAUAUUUGAAUUCGCGCCGAAAGGACUUGCUUGAACUUCUACUUAGAAGUUGAAGAGUUUUGCUGCUUUAUUAUCUUUUUUUGGAUCUACACGAAAGAAAUGUAAGUACAUUAUUGUUAUCUAAAUAGUGAAUUUAGUGUUCUAGCAGCUUCGUUAUGACAGUGAUAUUUUCAGAUGCCUGCUUCCAAGCAAGUAUCCGACGCCCAAGAACGGGUUCUCCUGCAGCUUAUGGAGGAGAAUCCCGAAAUAGCCACCGGUCGCGUGAACAGCCAAGCUCCGGCCUUGGCUAAGCAGACGGUGGCUGCGUUCUGGGAGUCGUUGGCGUCCCGGCUCAACUCUAUGGGCUCGGGCACCUCCAAACCGCCUUUGAAGUGGCGAGACGAACCCUCCACAUCUCAAGAAAUGCCAGAUGUGAGUGGGCCACUUAUCGCCCCGUCACAACCUUCACCUCCACUGCCUGCUAUCGCGCAGCCACAAUCGCCAUCACCACCACAGGCCACAUCCAGUCAAGCCACACCUGAGCUUUUGACAGCAGAGCAACUACAGACACCACGUGUCCGGCCUCGACUCUCCGACUCAAACCGGCAGAGGAUAGAUCACCGACUUACUACUCAUGCUCCCGCAUGGGCGGUAGAAUUAGAGAAUCGGAGGCUGGCAAUAGAGGAGCGACUUAUUUCAGCAGUCGACAGGCUGGCUGCAGCUGCUGAAGCUAAUAACAGGGCUGCCAAUAUGCAAACGGAGUUGCUUCGGCUGCUGCUAGAGGAAGUUAGGCGGAGAUCAACAUAAGAGCAACUACAGACACCACGUGUCCGGCCUCGAAUCUUCAACUCAAACCGGCAGAAGAUAGAUCACCGACUUACUACUCAUGGGCGGUAGAACUAGUGAACGGAGGCUGGAUCACUCACCCGAGCUUAGGGAAACUCACAAAGAGAAAAUUUAAUCGAAAAAAUCUGACUCGGAUGGGACUUCAACCCGCAGCUCUCGUCAAGCCGGGACGAGUGGUAACCAUUAUAUGCCUGAUGGCGUCGCUGAAUUAUAAGUAGACUUGUAUCAACAAUCUACACAGUAUAAAAGUUUUGGACUUGUAUUACUUUUCACCGACGGUACAGAAAUUUUCUCUUUGUGAGCUUGAACGUAAAUAUUUAAGAGAGAGGGGUGCAAUAAAACAAAUUAUGUAAUACUAUAAAACAAUU